CAGCUUCCUUAUGUGCUACAUUGGCUUUUGGUUUUGAGAAAACGAAUGGAAUCUAAGAUUAGGUACCUGCCAGGAUGCUGAAGGUCUCUGCCCUCAUCGCUCUCCUCUGUGGGCUUCUCGCCUCUACCUCUGCUCAAUACCACCAGUCCGGUGUGUCGGCCCAGUUCCUUGAUGAUUUGACCCAGGGACUCCUAGGCGAGGGCCUUCUUUCCGGCAUCCAGACAUUUGACCUCCAGGGACAACUGUCAAAAGUCCUGGGCUCUGUCUCUGGCCUCCUGGGCAAGUUGGGAAAUAGUGGCAUCAGGGUAAAACUGAUAGACCCUCGGCUCCUUUCCGUCUCUUUCAAGAACAAUCCUGAUAGCAAAGAUGCUGAAGUAUCCAUACCGUUGGAAUUUUCUGUGGAAGUGAA